ACCCCAGACUCCUACGGGAGGCAGCAGUGGGGAAUAUUGCACAAUGGGGGAAACCCUGAUGCAGCGACGCCGCGUGAGUGAAGAAGUCUUUCGGUAUGUAAAGCUCUAUCAGCAGGGAAGAAGAAGGACGGUACCUGAGUAAGAAGCCCCAGCUAACUACGUGCCAGCAGCCGCGGUAAUACGUAGGUGGCAAGCGUUGUCCGGAUUUACUGGGUGUAAAGGGCGUGUAGCCGGGCUGACAAGUCAGAUGUGAAAUCCGGGGGCUCAACCCCCGAACUGCAUUUGAAACUGUUGGUCUUGAGUAUCGGAGAGGCAGGCGGAAUUCCUAGUGUAGCGGUGAAAUGCGUAGAUAUUAGGAGGAACACCAGUGGCGAAGGCGGCCUGCUGGGCUUUUACUGACGCUGAGGCUCGAAAGUGUGGGGAGCAAACAGGAUUAGAGGCCCCAGUA
rnacentral:rRNA from 1 species